UUCAUAGCUUCAUUAAUACAAAUAAAAUUAAUUACUUUCUAAGAAGAAAUUAUUAACAAACAAAAAACAUGAGACUAGUGCUUGGUUAUAAUUCCUGAUAUCGUUAUCUGAUGACAGGUUUGAGUGGUGCUGGUGAGCAUCUUCGGAGAUGCAACGUAGUGCCUAUUAGGUGGCAAUGUACCCGGAAAAAACAAAGAAUGCUUUUAAAUCAAUAUACAUUCCUGGACACUUAUUUUGAAUAAGACAAAGUACUAAGGGCUGCAGUGGGAACAUACAUGAUAAAGAACAUCCUAGCCCUCGAGGCAAUUAUUAUGCUUUGAUUAUUUUUAAGUACAUUAUGAUGUAAUGACCAUAGGUUUUAGCAGCUCAGAAAUAUUCUAAGUGUACAAACCAUUGACACCCCAAUUUCUCACAUAGCCCUGUCGUAGCUAGUCUAUAAUUAUUCCUCAGAAUGUCUUAACAAUGGGAAUGAUUGUAAAGCAUUUUAUGCUGUAACUUUUUUGUUGUUGUUUUGAGACGGACCAGGAUACUCCGAGUUUCUGAACCCUGUGUCACUCCUGAAUUUUUAGAAAAAAUAAUUAAUCUUUUCCUUUCUUAGGGAGGUAAGACAUUUCUGAGAUGUCAAUAAGGGAAUUAUAGGAUUGAUCUCUCUGCACCAGAUGUUAGAGAUUUGAUAAUUAAGAUAAUGUUCUCCAAAAAACUGAGACAACCCUCAAGUAUUAUGAGUAAUUAAAACAUUCUGAUCUUACCCCAGGUGAAGUAUAGUUGUAAAUAGUAACCACAAAUUCUGAUUAUUUGGCAGACCAAAGUGAAAAACUAAACAGUUGAAAAACCUAAAUCUCUUUUGCAUAAGAAAUAAUUCUGUCUUGUUUCUCGCCUCUUCUCCUUUGAGCCAAUAACAAAUAAAAAUUU